UGGGGUAAGUUUUCCGUCAAUGGGCGAAAGCCUGACAGAGCAAUGCCGCGUGGAGGUGGAAGGCCUACGGGUCGUCAACUUCUUUUCUCGGAGAAGAAACAAUGACGGUAUCUGAGGAAUAAGCAUCGGCUAACUCUGUGUCAG
rnacentral:rRNA from 1 species